UACGUAGGUGGCAAGCGUUAUCCGGAAUUACUGGGCGUAAAGAGCGCGCAGGUGGUUGAUUAAGUCUGAUGUGAAAGCCCACGGCUUAACCGUGGAGGGUCAUUGGAAACUGGUCGACUUGAGUGCAGAAGAGGGAAGUGGAAUUCCAUGUGUAGCGGUGAAAUGCGUAGAGAUAUGGAGGAACACCAGUGGCGAAGGCGGCUUCCUGGUCUGUAACUGACACUGAGGCGCGAAAGCGUGGGGAGCAAACAGGAUUAGAUACU
rnacentral:rRNA from 1 species